rnacentral:rRNA from 1 species
UACGAAGGGGGCUAGCGUUGUUCGGAAUUACUGGGCGUAAAGGGCGCGUAGGCGGCUUCGAUAGUCGGGUGUGAAAUGCCUGGGCUCAACCCAGGAAUUGCACUCGAAACUCCGAGGCUUGAGUGUGGGAGAGGUUGGUGGAAUUCCCAGUGUAGAGGUGAAGUUCGUAGAUAUUGGGAAGAACACCGGUGGCGAAGGCGGCCAACUGGACCACAACUGACGCUGAGGCGCGAAAGCGUGGGGAGCAAACAGG